rnacentral:piRNA from 1 species
UCAAAAUGUGUGUGACACUGC